GACGAACGCUGGCGGCGUGCCUAAUACAUGCAAGUCGAACGCACAGUUUAUACCGUAGCUUGCUACACCAUAGACUGUGAGUUGCGAACGGGUGAGUAACGCGUAGGUAACCUGCCUGGUAGCGGGGGAUAACUAUUGGAAACGAAAGCUAAUACCGCAUAAUAUUAAUUAUUGCAUGAUACUUAAUUGUAAGGUGCAAUUGCAGUACUACCAGAUGGACCUGCGUUGUAUUAGCUAGUAGGUGAGGUAACGGGUCACCUAGGCGACGAUACAUAGCCGAACUGGGAGGGUGGGCGGCCAAACUGGGACGGGAGCACGGCCCCGGCCUCUGCGGGAGGCAGCCGGAGGGGAUUCUUAGGAAAGGAAGAAAGGCUGAACGUGGAACGCCGGGGGGAUGAAGGAGGUUGUCGGGUCGUAAAACUCAUUUGGGAGGGAAGGAAGGAUGUCGGUGUUGACAGUUCACACUGUGACGGUAUCUGACCAGAAAGCCACGGCUAACUACGUG
rnacentral:rRNA from 1 species